CCAAUAGCGUAUAUUAAAGUUGUUGCAGUUAAAAAGCUCGUAGUUGAAUUUUGGAUUCUUCCAAUUGGUCCAUCUUUUAGAUGAGUACUGGUUGUGUGGGGUCUAUCCGCCUGGUGAUACGUAAUGUCCUUUAUUGGAUGUUGCGGGUAGUCAGGACCUUUACCUUGAAAAAAUUAGAGUGUUUAAAGCAGGCUUAUGCCGGAAUACAUUAGCAUGGAAUAAUAGAAUAGGACGAAGUUGUUUUAUUUUGUUGGUUUCUAGGACAACCGUAAUGAUUAAUAGGGAUAGUUGGGGGCAUUAGUAUUCAAUUGUCAGAGGUGAAAUUCUUGGAUUUAUUGAAGACUAACUACUGCGAAAGCAUUUGCCAAGGAUGUUUUCAUUAAUCAAGAACGAAAGUUAGGGGAUCGAAGACGAUCAGAUACCGUCGUAGUCUUAACCAUAAACGAUGCCGACUAGGGAUCGGGCGAUGUUGUUUCCAUGACUCGCUCGGCACCUUAUG
rnacentral:rRNA from 1 species